GCUAGGUGCGGUGGCACAUGCCUGUAAUCCCAGUAGCUCAGGAGGCUGAGGCAGGAGGAUUGUGAGUUGAAAGCCAGCCUCAGCAUCUUAGUGAGGCCCUAAGCAACUUAGUGAGACCCUGUCUCUA
rnacentral:sRNA from 1 species